rnacentral:rRNA from 1 species
GACGAACGCUGGCGGCGUGCUUAACACAUGCAAGUCGAACGAUGAACCCGGAGCUUGCUCCGGUGGAUUAGUGGCGAACGGGUGAGUAACACGUGAGUAACCUGCCCUUGACUCUGGGAUAACUGCGGGAAACCGUAGCUAAUACCGGAUACGACCCUCGGCGGCAUCGCCAGGGGGUGGAAAGAAUUUCGGUCAAGGAUGGACUCGCGGCCUAUCAGCUAGUUGCUGAGGUAACGGCUCACCAAGGCGACGACGGGUAGCCGGCCUGAGAGGGUAACCGGCCACACUGGGACUGAGACACGGCCCAGACUCCUACGGGAGGCAGCAGUGGGGAAUAUUGCACAAUGGGCGCAAGCCUGAUGCAGCAACGCCGCGUGAGGGAUGACGGCCUUCGGGUUGUAAACCUCUUUUAGUAGGGAAGAAGCGAAAGCGACGGUACCUGCAGAAAAAGCACCGGCUAACUACGUGCCAGCCGCCGCCGUAA